CAGGUACUGCCUGCGUUCAGGGUCUGCUGUUUUCUGUAAGGACAUUCCACACUGCACCAUAUAUAUACUCUCUCAGCAGUCGGCUCACUACAAUUCCUGCCUGCGACAGAGACAGAAAAAGACUUGGAAAGACAAAUAGAAUAAAUACUGUAAAGACUGUGAAGAUGAUCUCAUCAAAGGAAUGCUGGUUAUUGAAUAUGGGAGUGAACCAAUUCCACCCUCCUACUAUGACUUUGACAUUGCGCUUGAGGCGAACGCUGUGAUUCGUCUCCUAUUUGAUCUGCCCAGCACUUUCAUGACUCUGAUGGGAGUGAUGUAUGUGCUAAACCUCAACUAUCCCAAGGAGGUAAAAUACAUUUUUGAAAUAAUCCAGCAUCUUUUCUUGGGAAUUGGAAUUGACUCAUGUUCUGCUAGGGUCCAUUCCCUGACCCUAAAAUACACUUUUCAAGUGAAGCAACUGAGUUCAUAUGAACCAAAUACUGCUAUGUUUUUGUCCUUUGAAGAAAAACUUUGUCUUUUCAUGUCAGGUUGAUUUAAAGAUAAGGUAGAAGUGGAAUAUUAUUGUAACUGUUGCUUCUUGGGGUUUCUCACAAGGCAUUAUUGAAUGAUCUGUUCUUAAAUCUCUGACAACAUUGAAUUCUGAUACCCUGUUCAUAUUGUAUUUUCUGUUUUCAUCAACUGCAAUGUUAUGGACGUGCUAUAAAAACUGAAAUGAAAGACACCAACAUGUAUAAAAGGUUCAGUUCCUAUCAUAUCAAACAUUUCACUUUUGAGGAGUUUUAAAGAGGUGUGGGUAGAUAUACAGAAACCAAAGUGCACUAGUUUACUCAUAGAUUCUUGUUAGUAAACUGCGUAUCUUUAAAUGUCAAUGUAAGUGUAUUUUUUGCAUUCGUUGUUACUUGCUUAAAUAUUUUCAACCUUGUUUAAACAAAUUUUACAGAGACAUUUGAAAAUGUUUAACAGCUUUUGGUCUUAGAAAAACAUAAGA